GACGAACGCUGGCGGCGUGCUUAACACAUGCAAGUCGAACGAUGAACUACCAGCUUGCUGGUGGGGAUUAGUGGCGAACGGGUGAGUAACACGUGAGUAACCUGCCCUGGACUCUGGGAUAACCCCGAGAAAUCGGAGCUAAUACCGGAUAGGACCUUUCCUCGCAUGAGGUUUGGUGGAAAGUUUUUCGGUUUGGGAUGGACUCGCGGCCUAUCAGCUUGUUGGUGAGGUAAUGGCUCACCAAGGCGUCGACGGGUAGCCGGCCUGAGUGGGUGACGGGCGACACUGGGAAUGAGGCACGGCCCAGAGUCCUACGGGAGGCAGCAGUGGGGAAUAUUGCACAAUGGGCGCAAGCCUGAUGCAGCAACGCCGCGUGCGGGAUGACGGCGUUCGGGUUGUAAUCCGCUUUUAGUAGGGAAGAAGGGCUUCGGCUUGACGGUACCUGCAGAAAAAGGACCGGCUAACUACGUGCCAGCAGCCGCAGUAACAC
rnacentral:rRNA from 1 species